AUACAAUGCACAAUAAUUUAUUGUAACGUGUUUACAAUCCUACACUGUAAACUCGGCAUUACUCAUUAAUGUGCAAAAAAUACACAUUUUUUGAUGACAUAUGAAGCUGUCAAAAUAAUGGGUAUUUUGAAAUUUUGUAUAAUGCGUGAAUUGUGCCCAUUUUCAUACUCCAAGCAUUUACCCAUUAAUGGGUGAAAAACGAAUUAAGCUGUUUGUGAUUUCAGAAGCAGAAGUGGCAGGCGUUAUUUCGACAAAUUCUUGGUUAAACAAAACUGUUAGCUAAUUAUCGCUCAAUCGCCUACAUAAAAUCUUGGCGAAAAUGUACCCCCGCGGGAAUUCACCUCGACGGACACAGCGGAUUACAACACGACGACAUUUAGACGUAUUUCCUGGAAGCAGAGGCCUUGGUGGACGGCCACUUACGAAUCUGGGACUGGGCGCUUGCUUCAAAUCAAACUUCAGCUGCUCCUCGUAUUUGCAGGAUGGAGAAAUCUUCCCGGAAAGGCCCGGCUGGAGGCCACUCAUGGAUGUGGCUCUGCACUGAUCGCCUCAAACCAAACUUCAGUUGCUUCGUGCUCCGCAUAUAUGCAGCUUAGCAGAAACCUUGGCGGACGGCCACUUACGGGUCUGAUCUCACCCAUGGGUCUGAUCGGUUUACUUCAAAUCAACAUGAAUGCAUCUGACAUCUUGAGUUUGUUGUACCUAUAUUUUUAAUAAUCUAAAUAUAUUGAAAUAAAAAUUUGAACAUUCCAGGAAAAAAUCCUAAA